CUUUCAGGAGUGACAGUUCAUUCAGGUUCUUUGUGUUCUUCUUUGUAUAUAUCUGUCAGUUCGCUGUACAUGUACUUCAAGCUGCAGGAUUUCAAAGAUGGGGAAACUGUGGGUGGAUUUCAUCUCUUACUGGUCUUAGUAAGAGUAUCCCUGUUGGCAUUAUGAUGAUAACAAUAGCUGCACUUUUCACAGCAUCUGCUGUUAUUUCUUUAGUUAUGUUUAAAAAGUUGCAUGUUCUCUACCGCACAACUGGUGCUAGUUUUGAGAAAGCACAGCAGGAGUUUGCAACUGGAGUGAUGUCCAACAAAACUGUACGAACUGCUGCAGCCAAUGCCACAUCAACAGCAGCAACCAGUGCAGCUCAUAAUGUGUUCAAGGGUAACCAAAUGUAGAGAAAUAUAAAAAGUCAUGAUGGUUCUCUUCGACUGUACUUUAUUUUCCAGUCACUUAUUAUAUUCCCUAAAAACAUAGAUCAAAAUACACACAGCAUGUUUGUCUCUUCUGCAGUUGUGCAUGGCUAAAAUGAGAAAUGUUUGUUUUAUUUUAUUAUAAAUGUAUUUAUUUUAAAAAGAUAACCAUUCUCAGCUCUUCUUUAAAAUGUUGCAUUCUAGAAUAUAAAGCCUUCCAUAUUUUAUGAAGGAUAAAUAAUUUCACCAGUUGGCCUGAGAAUGAAUUGCGGUAUAUAAUGAUCAAAUAAAUAUAUUAAGAAUU